AAUAAACCAAUUUUUUACUUUUUACCUUCGAUUUUUUACUCUUCGUCUUAUUCAAUUUUUUUUCAAUUGAUAUUUUUGUUUUUAUUAGAUGAUAAAUUAUGAAUAGUACUUUAUAUGUGACUAAUUUUUUUUAAUUUCCUGAAUUUUUUUUUAAAUAAGACGGAUGGUUAAAUAUUGAACACGGAAACCGGAGAAUUCGUUUUUU
rnacentral:pre_miRNA from 1 species